rnacentral:rRNA from 1 species
AUUGAACGCUGGCGGCAUGCCUUACACAUGCAAGUCGAACGGCAGCACGGGAGCAAUCCUGGUGGCGAGUGGCGAACGGGUGAGUAAUAUAUCGGAACGUGCCCAGUCGUGGGGGAUAACGCAGCGAAAGCUGUGCUAAUACCGCAUACGAUCUAAGGAUGAAAGCGGGGGAUCGCAAGACCUCGCGCGAUUGGAGCGGCCGAUAUCAGAUUAGCUAGUUGGUGGGGUAAAGGCCCACCAAGGCGACGAUCUGUAGCUGGUCUGAGAGGACGACCAGCCACACUGGGACUGAGACACGGUCCAGACUCCUACGGGAGGCAGCAGUGGGGAAUUUUGGACAAUGGGCGCAAGCCUGAUCCAGCAAUGCCGCGUGCAGGAUGAAGGCCUUCGGGUUGUAAACUGCUUUUGUACGGAACGAAACGGCCCUUUCUAAUACAGGGGGCUAAUGACGGUACCGUAAGAAUAAGCACCGGCUAACUACGUGCCAGCAGCCGCGGUAA